rnacentral:rRNA from 1 species
ACGCUCGACACCUACGUGAGGCAGCAGUGAGGAAUAUUGGUCAAUGGGCGCUAGCCUGAACCAGCCAAGUAGCGUGAAGGAUGAAGGCUCUAUGGGUCGUAAACUUCUUUUAUAUAAGAAUAAAGUGCAGUAUGUAUACUGUUUUGUAUGUAUUAUAUGAAUAAGGAUCGGCUAACUCCGUGCCAACAGCCGCGGUAAUCUGAGCGGGCUGGCAAGGC